AAGGGCAUGCCUGUUUGANUANNAUGAACACCUCAACUCUCAUGGCUUUGCCGUGACGAGCUUGGACUUUGGGGGUCUUGCNGGCCUGUGGUCGGCUCCUCUCAAAUGAAUUAGCUUGCCAGUGUUUGGUGGCAUCACGGGUGUGAUAACUAUCUACGCUUGUGGUUUUCCACCAGGUAACCUUCAGUGAUGAAGGUUCGCUGGGGCUCAUAAAUGUCUCUCCUCAGCGAGGACAGCUCUUUGAACGUUUGAUCUCAAAUCAGGUAGGACUACCCGCUGAACUUAAGCAUAUCAAUAAGCGGAG
rnacentral:sRNA from 1 species